GUCGGAGUUCACCGAAAAAGGCCAUUUUGACCAUUUUUCCUCCCUCGUCCCUGGUUUGAGACGAAAACGCCCAAAAGGCCAAAAAAUCAAAGGAAACCCCUCGAUUUCGCUUUCUCCGAUUGCAACAAAGGUAGCAGUUGGGCAGUGGAGGAGUGGUAGUGACAAAGGCCAGGGACUAAGGGCGACACUAGGGUUUUAAGGUUUUGGGCCUUUUAGGGGUUUUAUUUUUAUUUUUAGGCCGUUUGGACCUUGUAAUUUGGAUUUUUGUUUGUUUUAUUAUUUUUUAUUUUUGGUUUUUGGUUGUCUAAUUUGAGCUUAGGCAAAUUUGGCCUGCUACAAUCAUGAUCAAUGUUUGCUAAGAUUAUGGUUGAGACUUCUGUAGAGAUUAAAAUUUGUUUCCCAAAAUUAUUUUGGUAUUUAA